rnacentral:rRNA from 1 species
UACGGAGGGUGCAAGCGUUGCUCGGAAUUAUUGGGCGUAAAGGGCAGGUAGGUGGUCUCAUUUGUCUGGGGUGAAAGCCUUGGGCUUAACUCAAGAAGUGCCCCAGAAACGGUGAGACUGGAGUCCUGGAGAGGCUAGUGGAAUUCCCGGUGUAGCGGUGAAAUGCGUAGAGAUCGGGAGGAACACCAGAGGCGAAGGCGGCUAGCUGGACAGGCACUGACACUCAACUGCGAAAGCGUGGGGAG